GACGAACGCUGGCGGUGUGCUUAACACAUGCAAGUCGAACGGUAAGGCCCUUUCGGGGGUACACGAGUGGCGAACGGGUGAGUAACACGUGAGUAACCUGCCCUCAUCUCUGGGAUAACAGUCGGAAACGGUUGCUAAUACUGGAUAUGAGCUUGCAAGGCAUCUUGUGGGUUGGAAAGAUAUUUUUUGGUUGGGGAUGGACUCGCGGCCUAUCAGCUUGUUGGUGAGGUAGUGGCUCACCAAGGCUUCGACGGGUAGCCGGCCUGAGAGGGCGACCGGCCACAUUGGGACUGAGAUACGGCCCAGACUCCUACGGGAGGCAGCAGUGGGGAAUAUUGCACAAUGGACGGAAGUCUGAUGCAGCAACGCCGCGUGCGGGAUGACGGCCUUCGGGUUGUAAACCCGCUUUCA
rnacentral:rRNA from 2 species